GUCACCCACUGCCACCGUCACCCGCAGUGACACCCCAUCCCUGUCACCCAUGGCAACUGUCACCCGCAGUGACAGCCCAUCCCUGUCACCCACUGCCACUGUCACCAAGAAACCACCUACAGUGACAACCCUGUCACCCACAGCCACCGUCACCCGCAGUGACACCCCGUCCCUGUCACCCACUGCCACUGUUACCAAGAGACCACCUACAGUGACAACCCUGUCACCCACAGCCACCGUCACCCGCAGUGACA